GACGAACGCUGGCGGCGUGCUUAACACAUGCAAGUCGAACGGGCCUUGUCCCCUUUUUUUUGGGGGUGGGGUUAGUGGCGAACGGGUGGGUAACACGUGAGUAACCUGCCCCUCACUUCUGGAUAACCGCUUGAAAGGGUGGCUAAUACGGGGUGUUCUGGCCUGCUCGCAUGGGUGGGUUUGGAAAGAUUCGACCGGUUUUGGUUGUUUUGGUGGGGGAUGGGCUCGCGGCCUAUCAGCUUGUUGGUGGGGUGAUGGCCUGCCAAGGCUUUGACGGGUAGCCGGCCUGAGAGGGUGGGCGGUCACACUGGGACUGAGACACGGCCCAGACUCCUACGGGAGGCAGCAGUGGGGAAUAUUGCACAAUGGGCGCAAGCCUGAUGCAGCGACGCCGCGUGAGGGAUGGAGGCCUUCGGGUUGUGAACCUCUUUCGCCAGUGAAGAAGGUCCUGCUCUUUGUGGUGGGGUUGACGGUAGCUGGGUUAAUGAAGCGCCGGCUAACUACGUG
rnacentral:rRNA from 1 species